UGAUCUCGUGUCUGUGAUCAUGUCUUCAAAGUCUAAUUACACUAAUUCAAAUAGUUUUCAGAUAUGUUGAUUAUUGUAUGCUUGUUUUAGUAUUACUUUCUGUAAAUAACGAUACUUCUUUCACAUACGUGUUCGAAGCCUCACUCCUCGGCCCGGCGCGGUAUCUGGCUAUCUGCCGCGGAGUACCACCCUCGCCCAUGCCAUUAUUCUGGGUUAAUGUGACUAGGAAACCCUGCCAAGGUCAUGCACUAUCAGCGGCCGCCACCACCUCCCCGCUGCUCGCACCCCGGCGGGUCCCAUCAGCUGCAUGCACAUAGCCUCUCAGUAAUAUGUUGUCGACUUUACGACGACGGCUGGUAUUUGGCUGGCUCGUGUUUCAAUGAUUAUUCAGCUGCUGGACAGUGUCCCUUGUGCUGAAAAGUGAUCACCUCCUUGCCUCGAGCCAUAAGUUGUGAUUCAAAGCUUUGUUGGGGGAGUGGUAGAGUGCUUUGUGUAGCUGGCCCUGCCUUGCUCCUGCCGUCCCUCUGUCCCCUACCCUGGUCACGCCCCUGCCCGCCUGUCGCCGCCCCGAGGUGUGAAGGGCGCAGGAGAAAUAAAUACGAGGUGCUGUGGAAACAAGAGUUUUGCUUGUGCGGCGUGGUAUUGGGAGCAAGGCGGUGGAGGAAUGCUUGGGUUUCUGUGUGGAGUCAUCGAUACAGAAGAUGUGAGGUGCAAUGGAUGGGAAUGGCUGGAGAUGAAGACUCGUACUGACAUGAGCGAAAAAGAGAAGGAAGAAGAAGAAAAAGAAGAAAAAAAAGAAGGAAACAGCAAAAACAACAACAACAACAACAACAACAACAACAACAACAACAGCAAUAACAACAACAACUACAUUCAAAGUCUCCCAAAAAUCUGUCUGUGGUGGCGCGGGCGAGGCUGAAUGGGCGGGUGUGGCGCGCAGGAGGCAAGCAGGUCACGGGGCCACACCUUCACGGCGGGGCGCCACAACUCGAAUCAGGAAGAAAUGAAGCCUUAAUGCGAUUCGCUAGUCAGUGCCCCCGCGUCUACACCCCCGCGUCCUUUGCCGGGACAGGACUCUUCACCUGCACCUCUACCACCAUCACCACCACCGUCGCUGCCACUGUCUUAUUGAGGACAAGGCUGACGAUGUUGUCUCGGAACGCCGCUCAAGGAAGGAGAGGGG